CUAUAGUGGAGGAGAGGAUCAUGAUUUUUAGGAGACAGAGGAGAGCUCAUGCAACUUGGUUUGGUACAGAGGUUUUUGCUAGCGAUUUUCAUAAUCUACAACUGAAUUCAUCGGGGGAGGAAGAUUGUCGAAGAGCCAUUGCUUUCCACCAAUUUUGUGUUGUCGUCCCGAUAUACCGCCAUCUCAUAGCUAGGAGAGAUUGAAGGAGUUCUUUGUCAUCUCCUAGCUGCAGAUCAACCUAUUCCCAACAUCGAUCAACCAUUUCAUCCACCAUUGCCGACUUCCUUUGUUCUGCCCCUCUAUAGAUUCGAUUCGGAACAAGCUAGGGAAUGCCCUAGUUUGGUUCGUAAGAACCUUUAGAUCCUUGUUCGUUCAUGAGAGCUAUAGAUCUAUUUUCAUGUGAUGAAUUGUUCAUUUAAUUCCCUAUGCAUUUGAUCUUGGUAGUUUGAUUAGUAGUUUUGUGGAUUUGCAUUUAAGAGUUUUUAAUGUUCUUGUUAAUGUUUGAUUUCUAUUUUACAGUAGCUUAGGAUAAUGUAGACAUCUUAUUCCUUUCCAAUACAAUGAGUGAUUUGUUUC